UCAACAUUGGCUCAAACGCUCCCACGUCCGACCACCCGCAACACCUUCCUCUUUGCUGGUUACAUUACUACCCCUCUCCACAUUUUACGUGUCGCGGGCCUUCCGAUCUGUCUUCGUUGUGCUUUGUGUGUGUGCAGUGAGCCAACGGUGCUUCAGCUGGUCCUACUUUUGUGUGUUCCGCAGUGAAUCGCUGGGUGUAAUCGAGUGCGCGCGCGAUGGAUCUGGAGCAUCGUAGGAAGUUCAGGGAUCCCGAUUUGAUCAGUGCUCUGGUGGCGUGCAUUGAUUUCGACGUUUUAGCGCCGAGUUUGCACUCGAGAGACAUCCUGACUGCCGCAAUGGUCGACGACAUUCGGGAGAAGGAAGGCCUGGAUGAACGCAACCUGGCCCUGCUGCAGCGGCUUCCCAAGAGGGGACCGCUGGCUUUUGACCGCUUUGUUGCCAUCCUUCGAGAGAAACGCAUGUUCCAGGCGGUCACCUUGCUGACGGGAGAGGCUCCGCCGGAACCACCUGUCCCUACUGUACUGCCACCUCCUCCUCACUCGACUCAGGCUUUCGGAGGUGGUGAUGCUCGUCUGGUCGUUGACUCUGCUCAAAAUGGUCAUGGGACAGUAGGUGAAGCCAGCAGCUCAGAGUUGCGGGUGGUUCCAGCCAAGGAUUUGAAGCAUGGAGAUAACAUAUACAGCAUGGUUCACUCACCGAGGGGCCUGUGCAUCAUCAUCAACAACUGUGACUUUGGAGGUUUGGCUGAUCGGCGUGAUGGAUCGGAGAUCGAUGUACGUCGCAUGGAGGCGCUCUUCAAGGCAUUCCUUUUCAACUGCAUUGUGCGCCACAACCUUUCCGCAUCUGACAUGAAGGCACUUCUGUCGUGGGCAGCCCAGCCCAAGCAGCAGGAGGGAGCCGACUGCCUGGUGGUAAUCCUGAUGUCGCACGGAAAGCACGACAUCAUUCAUGGCUCGGAUGGCGAGCAGCUGCAUCUGGCAUCUGACGUCUACGCAUUGUUCAACAACGAGCAUUGUGAAGCCCUGCAGGGAAAGCCGAAGCUGUUCUUCAUCCAGGCCUGUCGGGGAAGCAAGUUCGACAGUGGAACCUCCAAUAGCAUUGUGUACGACACUGCAGACGCCGGGCCAUUUGAGGUGCCUGAAUCAGUGUCAUCGAGUCCGAAGCGCAUUGCCACUUGGUCAGACAUGUACAUCGCCUAUGCAACCAUCCCCGGUUACACGGCACUCAAAAACAACGAAAGAGGUUCAUGGUUCCUCGCGGCCGUCUACACGGUCUUCAGUGAACACGCCAGUACCAUGCACUUGGAGAAGCUGAUGCACCGCGUCCAUGAUACCGUUAUGAGCUGGUCCUCCCAUGACGGCAGCAAGCAGACGCCCAAUGUGGAGUUGCUGGGUUGGAGGAAGAAGCUGUACUUCAACCCGGGCUUCUUCGUUGAACGCAGGCCAGAGGAGCCCGAAGUAUUCCACACUGCCUUGUAGAUUAUAUUGUGUGUGUUGACCAUAUUUCAAACAUGCCAGGGCCUUGACAAUCACCCUCUUUCGUGAAUGCAAAGUGUGCCUGCGAGAAUUGCCUCACCCGUGCUUGCUGCCAGCCUUGCAGAGACAGCCGCUUCAGUGGGAUCAGUAUACCCGCUGGUGCCAUUGAUGAAAAAGAAGUCCACAUGACCUGAAUAGAAUAAUUCCACUUUAGUUGAUUUUGUAGCAUUUGCAAAUGUACCAACAACUGUAGGAUUGCGGUGCCCAGUAAGCUUCAUGGAUGCACUGAGCUUGAACUUAAGAUGCCAUUUGGCUCAGCUCCAUUAAAAAACAAUCCAUGUGGCGCUUUUUCACCAUUUUGCAUGAGAGCUACAUAACAUGAAGAAGGCUCAGUC
rnacentral:misc_RNA from 1 species